rnacentral:rRNA from 1 species
UACCAUGGCGAUCACGGGUAACGGAGAAUUAGGGUUCGAUUCCGGAGAGGGAGCCUGAGAAACGGCUACCACAUCUAAGGAAGGCAGCAGGCGCGUAAAUUACCCAAUCGCGACUCGCGGAGGUAGUGACAAGAAAUAACGGACCGAAGCCUAUGUUUCGGGAUUGCAAUGAGUAGAAUUUAAACCCCUUUACGAGGAUCGAUUGGAGGGCAAGUCUGGUGCCAGCAGCCGCGGUAAUUCCAGCUCCAAUAGCGUAUAUUAAAGUUGUUGCAGUUAAAAAGCUCGUAGUUGGACUUCUGGGAGGAUGCCAAUGUCCGCUCGUUAGCGUGUGCAGCGGCGUCCUUCCAUCCUUCUGUUAACGUUUCUUGGUAUUCACUUACUGGUUUCGGGCUCAGAUAUUUUACCUUGAGAAAAUUAGAGUGUUUCAGGCAGGCUUGCGCCGGAAUACAUUAGCAUGGAAUAAUAGAAUAGGACUUUAGUCUCCUUUGUUGGUUUGAGGGACUGAAGUAAUGAUUAAUAGGGACAGUUGGGGGCAUUAGUAUUUAAUUGUCAGAGGUGAAAUUCUCGGAUUUGUUAAAGACUAACUUAU